GACGUAUCGCGCGCCGUGAUGGAUACUAUAUUUCGAGGGACGUAUCGCGCGCCGCGAUGGUUACUAUUAUCGAGGGUCGUGUCGUGCGCCGCGACAGAUGCAUGGACAAAUAUGUCCCCCAUGGGUCCCGGACUGAGAGACAGCGGGUGUGUAUCACUAGGUCAGACAUGCAUCAUUAUACUUGACAUUGCAUUCCAUUACAUUGCACAUACUUAUCAUUAGUGAACUUGAUAUUGUGUUUUGCUGAUCUAGUGAUUGCCUUUUUGCGGAACUUGUGAUUGUUGAAUACUGAGCUUGUUAUUGAGGAUAUAUAAUUUGUUGAAGUGUUGUUGUUGAGGAUAUGUAAUUUGUUGAAGUGUGUUAUUGAGGAUAUGUAAAUUUGUGGAAGUGUUGCUAUUGAGGAUAUCUAAUUUGUUUAAGUGUUGAUGUUGAGGAUAUAUAAUUUGUUAAAGUGUUGUUGUGGAGGAUAUGUAAUUUGUUAAAGUGUUGUUGUGGAGGAUAUGUAAUUUGCCUAAAUGUUUUUGUUGAGUUACGUUCUAUGUAAACUGUGAGUUAUUAGGUUGGGCUGAUGUUUAUGCAGGUUGUAGUUGUGGAGGUUCGGUUGGGGUGGUAGGAGUACCCGUAUUUCAUCCCCUUAGCUUGUGUUUAGAGGUUUACUUGCUGAGUACCGUGUGGUUUGGUACUCACCCCUUGCCUCUACCAAUUUUUGUAGGUUAUUAGCCCGGACUUUUAUGAUAUAUUCUCUUCUUUUCCGAGGCUUUUUGGAGAUUUUGUGAGGUAGUUGUUGGUCAUCUCAGCAUCCCUCCUUACUCUUGUUUAUGAUUUUGUUCUAUUCUAGAAACAAUAUCAUAUGAGACUUAUAUUUUCUUUUGAUCCGAUUGUAAUAAUUUAGAGGCUUGUACACGUGACAACUAGGUUUUGGGGUAUAAUGUAAUUUGAUAGUAAAUUUUCCGCAUUUUUAUUGUAAUAGUUGAGUUUUAGGCUUACUUGUCUUGGUGGGAUAAGACGAGUGCCAUCACGUCCAUUUUUGGGUCGUGACAAAAUGGUAUCAGAGCCCCAGGUUCCUAGGUCUCAUGUGUGUACAAGUUGAGUCUCAAUAGAGUCUCGAUGAUCGGUACGGAGACGUCUGUACCUAUCUUCGAGAGGCUGUAGUGACUUUUAGGAAAUAUCUUCACUUCUUGGAUCUCUAUUGUGCAUAGUUGGUCCCAUUUUGAUUAUUAUCGCUUCACUCCAUUCGCUCUCGUUUAUGUGAUGACUCGUGCGUAGUUCCUUUUGUGAAUCAUUGGCAUGUCGUGUAUUGGUUUGAUGUUAGAUCUGGUAUUAAGGUGGAAAUGAUAUAUUUAUGAAAGGAAUGUGUGAUCAUAUUUGAAGGGGUUGAGUAAGGUUGGUUACCAUAGUAAAAUAAAUAGUACUUAUGUGGUAUAACAAUAUGUGGAGUGGUUCGACAAUUAGAAGUUAAAUGUUCAAAGAGUUGGCUAGAUAAUGAAUAGUGUAACUUGAAAAAUACCGUUGAUAUAUUUGUCAUAACAUUAAUGGGUUGCUUAGCGAAUGAUGUUGCAUCAAUUGAGGUCAAAAUCUCUUUUGUGGUUCCAUAGAUUGAGUGUAUACCAAAGAAAGUCAUGAUAUAACUAUUACAAUGGUACUGAUAGGUAUUUGGCUAGAUAUAUGGAAUGUCUUACUUUUGUUAUCGACAUGUCCUACGAAAGAAUAUAUAUAGCUUGACUAAAUAUGGAACGAAUUUGAUAUCAUUUUAAAGCUAUUAGAUAGGUAGAAAUGUGUAACCUAUUUGGAUAUGAUCCUCGGUAGGUAUGAUAUGUUCUAGUGGUGGAUGUAACGGACUUUCACGGUGUGGUACUAGUGGUAUAUGAAAACAUAUAUGUUAAUUGUUAAACAUGAAUACUAACUACAUAAGGAGUUAUAAGUUGUAUCACAUGCUCAUAUAAUGAGAUUCGAUGUUAAAUUCAUAUUUGGGAAACCAACUAGUUACUAUGGACACUUGAGUUAAACAUUAUUUAUAAGGAAGCUUUUAGUAGUGGAUUUUUGGUAUGAAAUUGAUAUGUUCAGAUUGUGAAAUGUAUUUUAUGAAUUUUUAAAUGAGUGGUUAUUUCAUCGUAAUGUCCAAGAAAUUGGAUCAAUAUUGAAUGACAAGCAUAUAGGUAAAGGAAGUCCUAAAGUGUAUACUUAUGUGAAGACAAUUAAGAGUUUUAGUAAGGAAGUGCGGAUAAAAGUGGGUUAGUUCUUUGGAUUGGAUUGGUAUAAUUGGGUUUAAGGAUUCAUAUUGAUGAAAUAGUUGACUUCGUGGAGAUAACAAGAGCUAACUAAGCAAAAUGAUAAUAGGAGUUUGUGAUGGAUUGCGAUUGAGACUAAAUCAUAAAAUAAGAAUUGAGGGUUAAACGAGUUUUUAUGGUAAUAACGACUUGCGAGCAUCUAAGGUUGUGGUUUUCCACUAUUUGAUGAACAAUGUGGUUGUAUGAAAAUUUGUAUGAUGUGUUGAAAAUUUCACUUGAAUAGAAUUGAAAGAAGCUAGAGUCAUAAAUGGAAAAAAUUAGUGGGAAGUAUUUUAGUCAUUGGAAAGAGACAAUCGAGGAAAUAGAUAUUUACUAUAAUUAUAAAGGACAAAGAUAUAUCUUUAGAGAGUUGAAAAUUUAGUUCAAGGCUACGUGAUUUCAUCUGUUUCAUUUUGGUUAUGGUAAUAGUGUCACACGUUCAUUAGAUUGAUAAAAAAAAUGUAUGUAUAUAUAUAUUGGGUAUGAAUUGAGAAAGAAACCUACACAGUUCGACUCGAGUGUGAUGAUAAGUUCUUUUAUAGUUUCGAUUACGGGUAUGAUUGGAUUUUUAAGAAAGGGUAUGACAAGGUCGAUGGAUAGGCGAUCAAUAAUAAGCUAAGAUGUCCAAAUAUGUAAAUAUUUUCUAUGUAUGAGCUAAUUUCAAUAGAUAAAAGGAUUGAGUUACAUAAUUGAAUUCAAAAUUCAUGUUUUUCAUUGUGAGUUUAGAUUUGUGGUAGUGUGUUUUGUCAAGGUAUGAAUUGGUAAGGGGUAAGAAAUGAUUGAUCACAUUGAGUAUGAAGCAUUUGAAGGACUUAAAAAUAAUUUGAGUAGUAAAUUUGGUUACUUUUGAUUGUUAUACGUAAAUGGGAUUUCAUGUAAUGUUUUUAUUUCAAGGAUAAGAUAAAAAUACCAUAGGUUGUUGGUCAAAGGAUAAGAUUGGUAAGCAAGUCAGCGAAGAGAAAAAAAGUUUGGUGUAUUGAAGAGUUCAAGGUAUUUAAAAUUUGUGUCAUCGAAAGAAUUUAGAAGAUGUGAAGGAAUAAGAAUACUCUUGGUUCUGAGUUGAAGGGUCUAUGAAUGGACAUAUAUAGUUCUAAUAUGACUAUGAUUGUGAAUCAAUUCGGUAUAAACUUACUAGGAAUUUAUCAGCAAUUUUUAUGAAGGUUGAGUGUUGAUUUGGGUAAAACCCAUGAGAUGUGUAAGAGUAUGUGUUGUUAUGUGAAGCUAAAUGGUUCAGAUUUUGUUAAGUGACUUAUGGAUACGUAAUAGUAUGGACAUACAAUUAUACAUGGUCAUUGAUGAAUUUUUUUGGAAUCACUUGUUGUGAUGUGUUACAUAGAUACGUGAUGGUAAAUAGAGAUUAUGUGCCCAUGGUAUAUAGAAUAAUUGGGGAGACCUAAUAUUUCUCUAAGUAUUGGCAUGACGUAUGUGAUGAUUAGGAAUGAAAAUUGAAGCAUCGUAUGUGAAAGUUGUGUGGAGUUGACUUCGGGUGUGAUUUAAUAGUUUGAUAUCAAUGGAAAGGUACUAUCAUAUUUGAAACUAGUGUUAUCAAUUUUUUUUUGUAGGACAUGUACUUGUCAUGGAAUUCUUAAAAAGAAAGAGAGGUAGCCAUAGUUUGAAAAUUUUGGAGGAAAUAAUGUGUUUGUUAAGAACAUUUUAAUACUAGUGACGAUUUGAGAAUAAGAUAAAUGGUUGUUGCGACUAUGAAGUUCUUUUAGAAUUAAAAGUGUUGACCUUAGUGAAGUAUUGUAAAAAAAAGUUGUGGUUCGAUAAAACAAGUAUGUGAGAAAUUAUAAUCUAGACUAAAUUGGUGAUUGUGGGUAACUAGAAAAUUAAAGAGAUAGAGUCAAAUAAAUGCAAAUGUUUGAUAUGGGCACUAUGAAAAGAAGUAUCUAGUCUUAUUCGACUCUGAUUUUAUAAAUUCUUAUAUGACCAUUUACUUCAUAUUGGAUAUGGUUUAGAGUGUGAUUUGCUACCUAUACACAUACAGGUUUUAUAAUUACGGCUGAAUUUCUAGUGGUGGAUCGGGUGUAGUGAUCCUGUAAUUGUCCUCUUGGUAGGAUUUCAUCCUUGGUUAGACUUAUUCCCUUCAGUUAUGACAUAUAGGGUGUUUUUUGGAAAAACUAGAAGUAAAAGAUUUGUUUCUAUAUGCACGGUCAUGCUUAUGAGAACUUAUAGUAGAGAUUUCGUGAGUAGAAACAGUUAUCCGACUGUGUUGUUAAAGAUUUUGCAUCCUGGAAUAUAACACUUGAUCUUGUUCUUCUCUGGGUUAGAUCAGUUUGAUUCUCCCUUCAUGAGUACCAAUGUCUAAAUAUAAGAUUUUUAUAACUUAAACUUGUAAAAAGAUUGUGUUCUGAAAAGGGAAUCGUUAUAAGAUGUAUGAUGGUUUGUGCACUAUCAUUAUGUGAUGAUUGGUUCAGGUUCACUUCUAGUUGUAGCUAGUAUCAAUAGAACAUUAUCUUUGCUAUGUGAGAAAGGAUUUGUCAUGAUUAUUGUGUUAUGGUCCAAGGGGUUUCAGUUUCAAUUCGGUUCAUGGGUUAGUAUGUAGCUUGACAAUCACCUCUGAUAUGUAGAUCUGUCAAAUUCUCUAUAGUUCAGUUCUUGGUAGCUGGUCUUGAUAGAAUGGUGUUAAAAAUAAGCUUUCAUGGAGAGAUGAACAACGACUCUCGAAGAUCAUGCAUUAGAUUUCUGAUAACGUCAAUAAUUCUUCCUUCUCCUAUUUUAUGUUCGAGGACGAACAUGAUUUUUAGUGGUGGAUAAUGUAACGACCCUCUUAGUCAUUUUAGAAAUUCCAACUAAUAUCUUUUAUAUUAACCUUUUUAGUAGAUUUUAUAAAUAAUUUAUAUGAAUUGUAAUAAUGAGUGACAUGAUUUUACAUUUAAUAAAAGAUUAUUUUAUUGCUAAAAAAUAAUUAAAAAAGGGAAAAGGAAUUAAUUAAAUAAAUGAAUAAAAUAAUAAUAAAAAAAGGGGCAAAGUGCCCUAGACUAUUAAAAAGCCGCACGGCUUAUAAGAAAAAGAAAGAACGAAACGAUCUGAGAAAAAAAUAUACAGAUAAGAAAAGAAAAGAAAGGGAGAAAAGAAAAAGAAAAAGGAGGAGAAACAAUGAUAUUUUUAUCUCGAUAUAUCAAGGUAAUUAUUCUUAUCCUUUCUAUUAAAUUUUUGAGUAACUAGGAAUAGAUUUUUAGGUUAAAACAUGUAUAAUUUAUACUAAUAUGUGAACUUGUGAACUUAGGGUUAUAAAUGUGUAUAAGUAUUAUGGUUCAAUCAUUGGACAAUGAUUAGUCCUAAUCAUUGGACAAUGAUUACUCCAAGAUUAGGAUUAUUAAUAGUGGAACGAUAAAUAUGAAUUAGAACAUUGAAAAUAAGUGGUUUCAGCAGAUAGUUUUGUAGUCCACCAUUGAUGUGUUGGGCAGUUAGUUUCGGCUUUAAUUAUUUUCAUUUGAUUAUCAUAUUAGGAUUCAAGUUUUGAUAUAUUGAGACAUGUGUUAAAUAGUGGGUGCAUUAUGAUAUAUAAAAAUCAUUAUAAUUAUGUUAUUUGGAGAAUUAAGAUUUAACCCUAAACUUGAAAUUCAGAAAAUAUGAGAUUUGAUCAAUUGGUUGGAAUAAAGAUUUAGAAAUUUUAUUAUAAAUUUGGAUGAGUCUUAGGUCUAAGCUAGAGAUAUAGCAAUAUGAAUGUUGUUAGUUUCGAAAUCAUAUCGUGGUUAUUUAUUUGAAUAGAUUUUAUUGGUUUGGAAGUCAACCAAAAGAGGAAGGCUCAUGUUUUGGAGUCAUUGUUCGACUAUUUGAGGCAAGUGGAUUUCUAAAUUCUUGUUAAGUGUAUGAAAUGCAUGUAUGUCCUUGUGGUAUAUGUUGGGAGUAACGGGAUUGGUGAUGGGUUGACUUGUCCACAUUGAUUAAUUCUAAUGAUGAAAAGAAUGGGGAUAACAAAAGGCAAUGUGAUUAAUUGUUUAUGUGUGUUGUGUUGAGAAAGGGUUAAAGGCUUGUUGAAUCAUUGUUGAUGUAACUUCAUGUUUGUGUGGUUGUGAACUGUGCGAUGUUAUGAAAAUGGUCAUCUCCUCAUUAUAUAUGUGAACUUGUCAUCUGCAUUAUUCUGAGGCAUUGGUUGUGGCAAGUGUUAUGUGCAUUGAGAAAUAAUGGGUACUUAAGAGGAUGUACCAUUUCGAGGGACGUAUCGCGCGCCGCGAUGGAUACUAUAUUUCGAGGGACAUAUCGCGCGCCACGAUGGUUACUAUUAUCGAGGGUCGUGUCAUGCGCCGCGACAGAUGCAUGGACAAAUAUGUCCCCCAUGGGUCCCGGACUGAGAGACAGCGGGUGUGUAUCACUAGGUCAGACAUGCAUCAUUAUACUUGACAUUGCAUUCCAUUACAUUGCACAUACUUAUCAUUAGUGAACUUGAUAUUGUGUUUUGCUGAUCUAGUGAUUGCCUUUUUGCGGAACUUGUGAUUGUUGAAUACUGAGCUUGUUAUUGAGGAUAUAUAAUUUGUUGAAGUGUUGUUGUUGAGGAUAUGUAAUUUGUUGAAGUGUGUUAUUGAGGAUAUGUAAAUUUGUGGAAGUGUUGCUAUUGAGGAUAUCUAAUUUGUUUAAGUGUUGAUGUUGAGG
rnacentral:lncRNA from 1 species